rnacentral:rRNA from 1 species
UACAGAGGUCUCGAGCGUUGUUCGGAUUCAUUGGGCGUAAAGGGCGCGUAGGCGGCGGGGUAAGUCUGGUGUGAAAUCUAGGAGCUCAACUCCUAAACUGCACUGGAUACUGCUCUGCUGGAGGACUGGAGAGGAGACUGGAAUUCACGGUGUAGCAGUGAAAUGCGUAGAUAUCGUGAGGAAGACCAGUGGCGAAGGCGGGUCUCUGGGCCGAUACUGACGCUGAGGAGCGAAAGCG